rnacentral:misc_RNA from 1 species
UACUACGCUUCAUUAUUCGAAGGCCAGUGCCCACUGACGCCGCCAGUUUUAUAUCCAAAUAAUAGCACUAUAGAACAGCAAAAAUGUCGCAGAUCAACGGAUAUAAGGAAGAACUCCAUGAAGAAUUGCAAAAAACAGAUCCAAAUUCACACGCCAGCCGACUGCUAGCACAAGAAAUUGAACGCCUUGAGAAAGGGGAAGACAGAAAAGACAGAGUAGUUCCCAUGAUUGAUGUUCAUCCCCAGCAGCCACAACCAGUCGCUUUAAAAGUUAGAAUUCCUGUCAUUGAAUAUCCAAAGUUUAACUUUGUUGGAAAGUUGUUGGGACCAAAAGGAAACACACUUAAACGCUUGCAGGAAACAACUGGUACUAAAAUGUCCAUUUUGGGGAAGGGUUCUAUGAGAGAUAAACAAAAGGAAGAGGAAUGCAGAAAGGAAGGUGGAAAAUAUGCUCAUCUCAAUGAUGAACUUCAUGUUUAUAUUGAAGUAUUUGCAGAGAUCGCAGAUGCGUACACACGACUAUCUCAUGCAGUUGCUGAAUUGAAAAAAUUUCUUGUUCCGGAUAGCAAUGAUGAUAUUAGGCAACAACAGCUUCAAGAGCUUAUGUAUAUCAACAGUGGAGAAAGCCCUGCUGGUCCACCUCGUGGUGGUGGACGAGGUGGUUUCCGAGGUGCUAGAGGGGGUCCAGGUGGUCCUCCAGGACCUACAGGUCCCGUUGGACGUGGUGUGCCUCCACCUGCUUCUGCUCGUGGCGCUCCAGUGCGAGGAGCUCCAGGUAGGGGUGCUGCUCCUCCUCCGCCCCGAGGGGCACCACCUCGUGGAGGACGAGGACGAGGUGGUGGAGCACCUCCUCCACCACAGUCAGGCGGAUACGAUGAAUUUAGUUCCCGCUAUGAUGAUGGUUAUGAAAACAGUUCUUUUACUGACCAGGGCUAUGGACAGGGUGACGGACAAUAUUAUGACUAUGGUAACCAGGGAUCAGGGGCAUAUGAUGACUACAGCAGUUAUAAUGACUAUGGUGAUAGUUGGGGUACCAGUGCAGCUGGUGGAGGUGGUAGUGGAGGACCAAUCAAACAGCCAGCUAGGGGCGCCAAAGCACGUACCCAUCCAUAUUCUGGGCGUGGAGGAUUCUGAACAGCCCGUCAUGGAAUCUUGCAGUAUCGUGGGUGAUGUCAUCCAUUAGCUUGCACAUCUGGGACCUCGCACUUGUUUUUAAACCAGCAGAUAUUUCCAGAGGUGAACUGAGGGUGUCCUGAGGCAGCAGAUCAAGAUAUGUUUAUAUUUUAAAAAAUUUUUAAAUAAAAGCUUUUACAGUC